AGACUGCAGGCUAGUGAACAUAUGAUGGAUGCAAACAAUUGACGAUUUAAAAUGGUCAAAACUUUGACUUUGCAAAUGUUUCAUGAGGAAGAAACUGCAUUCAACACAUUUAAGAUCCUGAUGAUGCACACUAUGGAUUUUGUUCAUUUGGCCGGCUCAGGGAUGGGAGGAGCGCGCUCCAGCCUCAUGGUCCAGGGGUCAGAGGGCGCAGCGUAAAACGGAGCGUGGAUAUGAGCACGAAGAAAGCCGAUACCUUCAUUGGAACAAUACGGUGUGUGAUUGGGAUGUGGUGAGAAAUGAAGAGAACAACAAAAGAGGUCAGAUUGUACUCUAGAUACUGUAUCCUGUCAAAAUGCUUACUUAGGCAUU